ensembl:processed_transcript
AGACUGAGCAAGGAAGCCCCACCCUGAGAGUGGGUGGCACCAUUCAGUGGGCUGGGUUUUCAGAGUGAAGAGAAAGCACGCUGAACACCAGCAAUCAUUUCCUGCUGCUGCCUGACUUUGGAUCCUCUCUGACCAAUCCUCAUCUAUCCCCGCCUCCAUGCCUUGCCUGCCAUGCUGGGCUGUAUCCCUUCUUAAAAUAUAAACCGGUACCCUUCUUUCUACAGGGUGCUUCUUUUAAGGAAUUCGGUCAAAGCAAAGAGAAGUGCAACCAGUUCACAGAUGAAAACAAUCUGGAAGACUUUGCUACAGUUUGGGGAAAACCUCAUGCGAUUCAGAGUUCUCCUGAAGAUGAGGUCACAGCUUCUACCACCAAGUAGACAGAGACAUGACAGCAUCAUUACUAUAAGGUGACCCUUCUGUAGUUUUCACCUCUCCAUAUAAAGCCCAGGAAGACUGACGCCAGGAAUCUUACCAUGCCAGCCAGAAUACUGAAGAUAAUUCAUAUCUCCAUUUAUCAUUCAUUAGAAUAGAACUCAAAUCUCCUAAAUUACAGGAAAGGCGAUAGUAUACACCUUU